rnacentral:rRNA from 1 species
UACGUAGGGUGCAAGCGUUAAUCGGAAUUACUGGGCGUAAAGCGUGCGCAGGCGGUUUUGUAAGUUUGUCGUGAAAUCCCCCGGGCUCAACCUGGGAAUGGCGAUGAAGACUGCAAGGCUAGAAUCUGGCAGAGGGGGGUAGAAUUCCACGUGUAGCAGUGAAAUGCGUAGAGAUGUGGAGGAACACCGAUGGCGAAGGCAGCCCCCUGGGUCAAGAUUGACGCUCAUGCACGAA